AUUGAUAUAUGAAUACUUCUAAGAAAACAUUAGAUUGUUUACCAAAAAUAAUCACUGUCAAAAUAUUCAAGGAAUUAUUGUCCAUGUAUUUUCAGGUAAUCUAAGAACUCCUUAAAAUGAAUGAAGUCUUGUCUCUUUAAGUCAACUCAUCACACUGAUUUGAACAUUUGGAUGACAUGAGCUUGUUAUUAGCUUUAGGCCUUGGAAUUGAAUAGCAUAGCUUGAUGGAUUUCAAAACCGAUUAAAACUUAGCGAUAGAUUUUCAAUUUUUUUGAGUUCGUCAACCUAACACUUAUUUUUCUUGAUACAUCAUCAUUGGAGCGGUAUCCUAAUUAUGCCUUUUCUUAUUUUCAACUUCUGUCCUUAGUUGUUAAACUUUAUUCUUAAAGGCCAAAUCAACUGCUAGAUAUUGCUACCAAAAACAGCUGGAUAUUUUUCCUUAAUUUGUCCCCAUUUCUCGUUGUUCAUUGUAUCCAUCAGCAUAAGGAAACCAAACAGUGACCAACCAAAUAGAAAAAACCCAUACACACAGGAUCCUGUUAGAAAUCAAAAACCAAAUACACGAAGAAUGGAGUCCAUUGUUUUGAAAACCAGUACCUCCACCAUAACUAUAAAUUGACCCAAAAGUGAGGCUGUAUUAGUAUCUUACAUUGUUUUUCAAGGGUUAGCUUCCAUUAGAGAUAUGUUACGUAUGUGGCAAAUAGCUGUAGGGUCCCAGAAUGAAGAUGAAGACGAUGCUCAUGCAGACCUGAUCAAGGUUCUCAAAAAUCAAUAUCGAAUUUGAUGAUUUACCAAAGGGAAGGCAAAGGGUUAUGAAAGCCUAGUUUGUUUAGUUAAGAACCAACAAAAAUGAAAGCCGUGAUCCCACAAGAGGCUACUGCAGCUGCUGCUCGAGCAAUUUCAGAGGCAGAAGUGGCCAUAGCCGAAGCUGAAGAAGCAGCUGUAGCUGAUGCAGAAGAGCACAAGCUUUUGAUAAAAGAAAAUAAGGGUUACAUGCAACAGAUGGAGAAUGGUGCCCGGCCCUUAAAAUAUAUUGGACAGUGUACAGAGUCUUCUGCCCACUUAACGGCAGGAUGAUGUAAAUUCCUAAAACCGUAGACUUAAGUCUUGUGCAAAUUUAUCAUGAUAACAUAUCUAAUUUUGUAACCACACAAGGAUAUAAUUUGUAACGUAGUCUGUGAUUGCUAAAAUGCUGAAACUCAGACCUCUUUAUAUCCUUUUGCUAAUGAAUCGAAGUCUUUCAACGAAAGUUCCUCAUUUGACUC